rnacentral:rRNA from 1 species
UGGCGGACGGGUGAGUAAAGCAUCGGAACGUACCCUAGAGUGGGGGAUAACUAUCCGAAAGGAUAGCUAAUACCGCAUAUUCUAUGAGUAGGAAAGCGGGGGAUCUUCGGACCUCGCGCUCUAGGAGCGGCCGAUGUCAGAUUAGGUAGUUGGUGGGGUAAAGGCCUACCAAGCCGACGAUCUGUAGCGGGUCUGAGAGGAUGAUCCGCCACACUGGGACUGAGACACGGCCCAGACUCCUACGGGAGGCAGCAGUGGGGAAUUUUGGACAAUGGGGGCAACCCUGAUCCAGCCAUGCCGCGUGAGUGAAGAAGGCCUUCGGGUUGUAAAGCUCUUUCGGCCGGGAAGAAAUCGUGUGGGCUAAUACCCUGCAUGGAUGACGGUACCGGAAUAAGAAGCACCGGCUAACUACGUGCCAGCAGCCGCGGUAAU